ensembl:lncRNA TTTY14 testis expressed transcript, Y-linked 14
UGCACCAGCGCCGGGUCGGAGAGUCAGAGGCCACCCUGAGAUGGACCGAGAUCUUCAGUUGGGGAGGCGCCUCCGGUGAGCUUGCGGCCAGAUGCCCCCUCAGUAGUCCUCCGCAACAGGUGCCGCGCAGCCGAGUGGCGGGCUAGCAUACCGCCUGCCCGCAAUUCGGCCAGGCCUCGAGCCUGCUCCGCCUUCCCGCUGCGGUAGCGCCGCCGGGGAAACGCCGCCACGGGCUGCAUGGGCAGCGCUCGCGCCCCGCCGCUGAGCCGCCGGGGAGCCGUCCAGUCUUCGAAUCCCACCACAGCAUGUUCCGAAGAGAUGAUUGGAAGAUGGAAGUGGAGGGUUAAAUAAUGAAAUGCAGCUAACAUUUCGGAAAGUUUCUAAAAGUUGUACAACAUGCCCUACAGCUACUCUUUAAAUCUCCAAAUCAAAUGAGCAUUUUGGAGGCCAAGGCAAAUGGAUCACUUGAGAUAUGGAGUUGGAGACAAACCUGGCCAACACAGUGAAACCCCGCCUCUACUAGAAAUACAAAAAUUAGCCAGGUUCUUGGGCAAGCACCUGUCAUGCCAGAUACUUCGGAGGCUGAGGUGGGAGAAUCGCUUGAACCCAGGAGGUGAAGUUGGCAGCCUUGGAUCAGGCCACUGCACUCCAGCAUGAGCAACAGGAUCCAUGGCCAGAAAUUAGGAAUCUUCCCCUACGCAAGCCGUACCCCAUGAGACAAGAAGCUUUCUAGAGUUGCAGGCAUGUCCCCCAUGUCUGCUUCUAGCUUCCGUAUCUUAGUGCACCUGAAGGGAAAGGAAUGUGCUUAUUAUUUGUAGUAAGAAGAGAAGUGAUUUCCUUGAAAUGCAUGAGGCUAAAAAGAGAGCUGGAAGUUAAUGUGGCAGUAUUUGUUCAAGAUGAAGGUGCUCCUGCUCUAUCACUUUCUAGUCAGAAAUGCAACAACUUGAGCAAGAGUGAUCAGUUACUAAGAGGAGUACCUAACGUCCUUAGAAGAAAAGAUUCAGAUCAUAGGGAUUUUAUUUACAGAAAUGUAUUUACCUGUUUGUAAUGUAUGCCAGUUUAGAGAGUCUCGUUCUGUCACCCGGGCUGGAGUGCAGGAGGACAAUCUCGGCUCGCUGAAACCUCUGCCGCCUGGGUUCAAGCAAUUCUCUGGGAUAAUGGAAGUCUUAAAAAGAAAAUGGAUACUUCUCUGCCAGGGGAGAUACUGUGAUCAUGAAGGUGGCUUUCCCAGGGCAAGGCUGAUCUAUUGCAUUCUGGAUGUGCUGACUCCUACGAUUUCCCCAAGUGUGGGAAACUCAACUGCAUAAUUUGUGGAAAAUUUGAAGCCAGAUGACAAAGAUGCCUUAGAUGAGCAUAAGUCCUCUCCAACAGAAUAUGCUCCAUUAUAUCCUCAUCCAACAGGCUUUAUGUAUCAAUAGCCUGCCAACAGGACAUUGUUCAUCCACCUUGAAACGGCCAUUCAUCAACCAAGCAGGUUGUUGUUGUCAAUAGGGAGCUCUUCAAAGGGCAUUGCCCAUGUGACAGUGGGAUCCAGUAAUUCCUGAGGUGGUUCCAGACUACAUGCUAGAAAAUUCCCUACUACCUGCUCUUGAACAGGAUGAGCAACUCCUUGCACUUCCCUGGUUUGUGAUGAAGAAAUAAACAAUGCCCAGUUCCUGCCCUGGAGAAGCUCAUUGCAUAGAAAAAGGAAAAAGGCAGAUAUACAUGCCACAGUACAGUGCUGAGACAACAUAAAUCACAAGCAACCAAGUACAAAGUGAAUUAUACAGAAUCUGGUUUUCUUCUGUUUGGAUUUGAUACUGAGCUAUACUGGAUUCACUGACAAGAAGAGUUUGAAUUAGCAGCAUGCUGAGAAUGGACACAGUGUUUGAAGAGACUGAUAAAGAAAGUACAGGAGGAGUUUUAUUUUUGGAAGAAGAAAUGGUCCUUGGGCACAGACCCCAUAUGAGUUUUCCUUUCAGCGUUCUCUGCUCAGCUGUUCUCUGCUGUGGUAAUUUUGGAUCAAAUCACCCUAACGUUUUUCAACAAAGACUUUAGAAGAAAUAAAGCUGCAUUACUUUUUCUUGGCGCAUUCUUCCUUUAGGACCUAUAGUGAGGCAAUGUGUCCAUGCCCGUCUCUUGUGGGUCAGUCACCACUGACACCUUAUUUUGACCACUCGAUGCCAUCAUCUUUCUCUCAUCGAUCCUAAUCCUUGGGACUACGCAUCAAUGUCUGCACAGUGAUGUUUUAAAUAGAGACAGAACUUGCCCUGUGGCCCACGUUGGAGUCCGCUGGCAUGAUCGUGAUCCACUGCAGCCUCAACUUCUUUGGGUUCAAAUGAACUUCCCACCUUAGCCACCUGAGCAUCUCGCCUAUCUGGACUCCACCUAUCCUCCCCUGUCAGCAUCUCACAGCAUAGGCAUGGGCCACCAGAACCAGCUUAUUUUUGUAUUUUUUUAAGCAGAAGAGAUCUUACCAUGUUGUGAAGACUGGUCUCGUACUUCUGGCUGAAGUGAUUUGUUCUCCUAAGCCUUCCAAAUUGGUGGGAUUACAUAUGUGAACCACCACACAAAGACUCCUACUGGUAUAUUUAGAAGGAUAUAAGUAUGCCGGUUUUUGGAUGCAUGCAUGGAGAAGACCCCAAAGCUUUUCACUUUUCCCUGAGUUUGGGCUAAACACUAGAGUUCCUCAAAGAGUCCAUAUCCAAAGUCUGGGCAGUUUUUCUUUUCUUUCUUUUCCUUUUUUUUUUUCUUGGAUUGUUUUUAAAAAAUAUGUCGAGAAUAGUAGACCAUCAAAAAGGUGACAGAACACAGAUUAAGUGGAUAUACAACACAAAGAAUGCAGACCACAAAAAUAGCUCUGGAGGGUUGCUACACAAGUAAACAACCCACAAACUAAGGAAUUGUGGAUGUUAAGAAUUUGUUAUCCAAAUAUGCUGAAUACUAUCCAAUAUUUCAAUUCACUUCAUUUUACUAUUCUCAAAGACCUAAGGGAACCCAGGAGUACAGUGAUUCAAAACUGAAAAUACCAGUAAAGACAUACAGAUUAUUUUAAAAAUGAAAUCAAUAACCUUGAAGUUACUAGGAAGCUGUGUGAUUGAAAGUCAGUCACUCAAUCACAUGAUCCUGGGAUUUUCCUCUACAUGUGGGACUACCCAUACCUUGCAGCAUUGCUGUGAGUUCACCUGAGCAAGACACCUGCACAUGGUGGUGCUCAGGAAAUGUUAAUUUCCCUUUAUUGAAAUGGAACAACCCAUGGGUAUUAUGUCUUGAGGUCUGGAUUACAGUUGAGCAAGAUACAGAAGACGUUGUAAACCCUGAGGAGGCAUCACUGAUCACUGGGAGUCUGGAAAGGCAGCAGAGAAAAAGUGACCUGCAGCUGGAAAUGGCCAAUGGGUCUGUUACAGGAAGUUACACAGGCAUGAGUGGGGCAGAAGAGAGUUCUCCCAUCCACCUACCAGGAAUGUCAGGCCAUCGGGUAAUGGUUGGACAGUUAUCACAUUGCUUUUCUAAAAAUAAUAAUUUAGCAGCAGAGCCAGGGAUAGACAAGUUCCUACUGAUACACAGCUGGUAACAUUAAAGUGUUAACUAAAGUCACACUCCCGGGAGGGGGAAAAAGGGCUUCUAGUAAAAUUUUACAUACUGGGUGAGUGAACUGAGACAUGCACAUUAAGAGACGAAAUGGUACAGCAUGACUUUCUGGGGUCACUCCACCAAAAAAAGGGAGGAAGCUUCAGAUGGGCAUGCAUAUAAAUGCUCAAACACACUGCCUAUGCUCACUUCUCAAGGGUAAGGAGGGCACUGUGCCUGCUGGCAGCCCACACUUAGGAAAGAAUCAUGGAAAAAGGUGCACCAGAUGCUCAAGGUGGGCCAGCCUAUAAAGUCCCAGAAUGAAGAGAAAUGGCCACACUUGUUCUUCAAGUCACCCACUUGGAUCUCUUCCAAGUGCACUUUUCAUUCUUUCCUGCUCUAAAGCUUUUUAAUAAAUGUCCACUCCUGCUGUGAAACUUGCCUCAGGAUUUUUUUUCCUUCUUUAUGCCCAUCAGUUGAACUCUUUCACCUGAGGAGGCAAGAACUGACAUUGCUAAAGACGCAGAUGGAUUUGCUGCCAGUAACUCCGAUACUUUCCACCAGUAACAGAUCUAGGAGCUGGUGGACAUAGUUGCUGAAGCAUGUGUCCAGAAUGUUUCUGCCCAGGCCACAAGCAGUCCUGCACUGUAAAGGGACUUGAACCCCAAGCUCAGGGGACACCAUGGAAAGAGACUUCAGCCCGCUGAUGGAAUACUGGAGAUAGGAAUUUUUUAUUGAGGUAUAAUUCCCAUAAUAUGUUAACUGUUUUUUAAGGUAUAAUUCAGUGACACAGGAAUGUGCAUGUUCUACCACUUCUUAAUUCCAAAUUAUUUUCAUCAUCUCAAAAGGAAAUCCCCUA